rnacentral:rRNA from 1 species
CAGCUCCAAUAGCGUAUAUUAAAGUUGUUGCAGUUAAAAAGCUCGUAGUUGAAAACCUGAUUGCUCAGGUCUUCAGCCUUUAGGCGGGGAUACUGACAGUCAUCCGCUUGCAAAUAUAAGUUCGAUCUUCACCGGUUGGCUAUAUGAGCAAGCAAUUUACCUUGAGAAGAACAGAGUGUUCCAGGCAGGUUUGUCCGGAAUGCAUUAGCAUGGAAUAAUAGAACAUGACUGAAGUCUAUUUAUUGGUUUAAGGCUUUAGUAAUGAUUAAUAGGAACAGUCGGGGGCAUUCGUACUCAGCAGUCAGAGGUGAAAUUCUAAGAUUUGCUGAAGACGAACUAAUGCGAAAGCAUUUGCCAAGGAUGUUUUCAUUAAUCAAGAACGAAAGUUAGGGGAUCAAAGACGAUCAGAUACCGUCCUAGUCUUAACUAUAAACGAUACCGACUCGGAUUCAGAUGAAUCAUAAAGUUCAUUUGGGACCGUAGGAGAAAUCAAAGUCUUUGGGUUCUGGGGGGAGUAUGGUCGCAAGGCUGAAACUUAAAGGAAUUGACGGUUUUGCACCACCAUGGAGUGGAGUUUGCGGCUUAAUUUGACUCAACACUGGGAAACUCAUCAGGGCAAGAAGAUUUUAGGAUUGACAGAUUGAGAGUUCUUUCUUGAUUGGUCUAGUGGUGGUGCAUGGCCGUUCUUAGUUGGUGGAGUGAUUUGUCUGGUUAAUUCCGUUAACGAACGAGACCUUAACCUGCUAACUAGUGUUUCGAUUCAUAAUCGAAAGCACUUCUUAGAGGGACUAUGUGAUGUAAUCACAUGGAAGUUUGAGGCAAUAACAGGUCUGUGAUGCCCUUAGAUGUCCUGAGCUGCACGCGUACUACAAUGGCACUUUCAACGAGUUUUUCCUGAUCCGAAAGGAUUUGGGUAAUCUUUUUAGUGAGUGCCGUGCUUGGGAUAGAUCUUUGUAAUUGUGGAUCUUGAACUAGGAAUUCCUAGUAAGCACGAGUCAUCAGCUCGUGCUGAUUACGUCCCUGCAAAAUGUACACACCGCCCUUA